rnacentral:rRNA from 1 species
CCACAGGUUAGGUGGGAUUACCCGCUGAGUUUAAGCAUAUCAAUAAGAAAAGCAAAAAAACCUUACCAGGAUUCCCCUAGUAAUGGCGAAAGAAUUGAGAAGAACCUGGCUUGAGAAUCGGGCACCUUAACAUCCAAAUUAUAGUCUAAAGAAGCAUUCUCAAUGGUGGACCAGGUCCAAGUCCCUUAGAAAAGGGUACCAGAAAGGGUGAGAGCCUAUUAUGCUUGGACCUUGUCAUAUCAUGAGGUGCUAUCUAGAAGUUGAGUUGUUUGGGAAUGCAACCCUACUUAGGUAAAAAAUUUCAUUCAAGGCUGAAUACAAGUGAGAGACUAAGAGCAAACGAAUACUGUAAGGGAAAGAUGAAAAGGACUUUGAAAAAAGAGUCAAAAAGUGCUUGAAAUUGUCAAGAAGAAAGUGGAAAGGGGUCGAUAAUGUAACUCGAUCAGAUGUAGAAUGACGAGAGCUAGUCUAUUGAUCAACUUGAGGCAUAGAUUAAUGUGGGUCAUAGUGGCAGCCCUAGCCUAGGCUUUCAAUAAGCCCACGGAGACAUUAUUUCCAUGAUUGUGGAAUGCAACACAUGCCAUCUCGAUAUACCUCAACAUCGAUGUGCUCUUAGCUUCAGCCUGCGGGCUCCCCAUCUAACCUAUUUUGAAACACAAACCAAAGAGUUUGACAUGUUUACGAGUCAACCUACUAGAAAACUCAUAAAGUGUAAGGAAGCUAAUUGGUAGGAUCCUUCGUAGGUGCACUGCUAACCGACCUUGAUCUUCUAAUAAGGGUUCAAGUGUGAGUUUGCCUAUCGAGACCCGAAAGAUGGUGAACUAUGCAUGAGUAGGAUGAAGCCAAAAAAACUUUAGUAGAGGCUUACAAUGAUACUAAUGUGCAAAUCAUUCAUUUAAUUUUAGGUAUAGGGUUGAAAGACUAAUCGAACCAUCUAGUAGCUGGUUCCCUCUAAAGUUUCCCUCAUGAUAGCUAAAGCCCUUAGUGAUUUCUAUUAGGUUAAGCCAAUGAUUAGAGGCAUCGGGAGAGUAAUGCCCUCGACCUAUUCUCAAACUUUAAAAGGGUAGGACGGCGCGACUACUUCAUUGAGCCAUGCAAUGGAAUCUAGAGCUCCAAGUGGGCCAUUUUUGGUAAGUAAAACUAAUGAUGCAAGAUGAACCAGAAGCUGGGUUACAGUGCCUAACUACAUGCUAACCUAGAACCCAUAAAGGGUUUUGGUCGAUUAAGAUAGUAGGACGAUUGUCAUAGAAGUCAAAAUCUAGUAAGAAGUGUGUAACAACUCACCUGCCAAAUCAACUAGCUUAAAAAAAUGGAUGGGGCUAAAGUGCACAACAUAUACGUAACCAUUGGGGCAAAGGCCAAGCCCAAUGAGUAAGAAGCUACAACAGUCACCAUAAAACCUAAGGUUUAAGUCCAAGCGAAGUAGCUGUCGAUGCAGAUCUUGGUGGUAGUAGCAAAUAUUCAAAUGAGAACUUUGAAGUUUGAAGAGGGGAAAGGUUCCAUAUGAAUGGCACUUGCACAUAAGUUAGUCGAUCCUAAGAGAUGAGGGAAGCCUAUUCGGUAAUGCAUCCAGCAUGAGCUUCAAAAAAGGAUCUAGUUAAUUCUUAAACUAGGACAUAGUGGCGGAUGAUAACGUUAGAGAGUCUAAAGAUGUCAAUGAGGGCAUCGAGAAAUGUUAUUUUUCUAUUUGAUAGCCUACCUCUCUUGGAAAUAGCUUAACUGAAGGUAGGGUCUAGCAACCAAGAGAGCACUACAUAUCACAUCAUGUUUAGUGCACCCUUGGUGGCCCUUGAAAAGUUGAAGGAUCGAGUGUUGUCUACACCCGGUCAUACGCAUAACCACAUCAAGUCUCCAAGGUGAAAACCUUUGGUUGAUGGAACAAUGUUGGCAAAAGAAAUCGGUAAAAUGGGUCUACAACCUUAGAAAAAAGAUUGGCUCUAAAGGCUGGGCAUGGAGGUCCUAGUCCUAAACUCAUUGCCUAUUGAUGCACUACUCGAGCUACUUCCGUAACAAGAAUAGGUCACCAUGUGUCCGCUUGGAGAUAGACUAGGAAUGGCUCCCUCAGGUGCCUCCCCCGGAUAUGAACACUCAACUCAAAAUUGGUACGAAUAUAGGGAAUCUAACUAUUUAAUUAGAAUAAAGCAUUGUGAUGGACCCUAAAGAUUCUCAUGCAAUGUGAUUUCUUCCCAGUGCUCUAAAUGUCAAAGUGAAAAAAAUUUAACCAAGCAUGGGUAAAUGAUGAGAGUAAUUAUGACUCUUUUAAGGCAGCCAAAAGCCUUGUUAUCUAAUUAGUGACAUGCAUGAAUGGAUUGAUAGGAUUCCCACUAUCCUUGUCUACUAUCAAGUGAACCACAACCAAAGGAAUGGGCUUGGCAGAAUCAAUAAGGAAAGAAGACCCUAUUAACCUUGACUCUAGUCUGACUUUGUCAAAUAACUUGAGAGGUGUAGGAUAAGUGGGAGCCCUUAGGCAAAAUUGAAAUACUACUAUUUUUAACAUUAUUCUACUUAUUAUGUGAAUCAAAGGUAGGGCACAACCCUUUCCUUUGGACCCAAGGCUAGCCUUGGUCGGUCGAUCUAAGCAAAAAACAUUGUCAGGUGGAGAGUUUGGCUAGGGUAGCACAUCUAUUAAAAGAUAAUGUAAGUGUCCUAAGAUGAGCUCAACGAGAACAAAAAUCUCAUGUGGAACAAAAAAGUAAAAGCUCAGUUGAUUUUGAUUUCCAGUAUGAAUAUGAACCAUGAAAGUGUGACCUAUCGAUCCUUUAAACCUUCAAAACUUGAAGCUAGAGGUAUCAGGAAAGUUACCACAUCAGUAAUUGGCUUAUGGCAGCUAAGCGUUCAUAGCGAUGUUACUUUUUGAUCCUUUGAUGUUGGCUCUUCCUACCAUUAUGAAGUAGAAUUCACCAAGUGUUAGAUUGUUCACCUACCAAUUGAAAAUGUGAGCUGAGUUUAAACUAUUAUGGGAUAGGUUAGUUUUACCCUACGAUGGUAGCCUCGUAAUAGUAAUUCAACCUAGUACGAGAGAAAUAAUUGAUCCGUAUAAUUGGUCAUCGUGCUUGGUUGAAAAGUAAGUGGUGCAAAGCUACUAUGAACUAAAGUAUAACUGAAUGCCUCUAACCUAGAAUUCAAGCUAGAAAUAAGGCAUGUGCCCUUCUCUCGAUUGUCGAACCAUAGUAUGGGCCCAUAACCCUCAAGGGCACGUGUCAUAGGUGAAGCCCCUAUGGUAGACAAGCAAUGCAAGCCUCUUUAGGGCUUAACUGCCACCAAG